UUUCAAAAAAAAGAACAAGGCACACAGAACCGGCCGUUGCCGGUGUGCCCACUGCCGCCGGUCGAAUCCCGGCCCCUCCGCUGCCGCUCCUCGAGCCGCCCCUCGAGUCACGACGAACCGAACCGCGACGCCCUCGGCAGUGGCACGGCAGUUCGGCGGCGUGAGUUUGCCGAGACGCCGAGGCCGCCCGCUCCGGCCACCAACCAUCACCAGUUCACCACCACCGUCUAGACGCGCGCGCGGAAGUCGUCGUGGCGGCGGCGGUCCUCGUCAAGCUCGAUGGUACAGUCUAAGUUGGUUACAGGCACAUUUGGUAGCCUGCUCCUGCUCGUCGACUCAAGUUGCUUGAAUUGAAUCCCCUAUGUGUCAGUCGUGCUGUCCCCAUCGGCAAGUGGCAAAACCGCGCGCGCUGUAGCCCCGCGCUGGUCAGUGUUUGAGGCUUCGAUGCUUGAUGCAAUCAUGACUGGUUGAAUUUGUUGCCCGCUUGCUGCAUUACCUCGACCCGGGCAAUUUGUCCUGUCAGUCUGUCACAGUCCUUUCGUUUUCUUUCUGAAUUCCAGCGGAAUAUUGCGUCACAGUCUUAUCCUCUAGUGAUUAUCAGUUCCCUGAUGCUUGGGUAUAGUUUCAUCAGUCGUCGAUUUCAUACUAAGCAUGACAUUCCGAUAAGGUGCUCUGCUGGCACCAAUCCAUUUCCUGGAAUCUGCUAAGUCAGAAGUCUCCAUACGAGGAAGCGUGUUUAAGUUUGUUUUGGAGUGUUGUUCUCGUGACUCAUGGUGAAGACCUUACAAGAUUAGGUGUGUAACAACCAAUAUGUGUUGAUAGGAUGUUAAUUAAUUUGCAUUGGCUGCUUCACGGUAAUUGCCCUUUAGGAUUUAGCUUCUUUAUCCUGUAACUUUUUAAAUACGCAAAACUGAAAUAUGAUGUUAAUGUUCAAUCACCGUGAGAAUCUGGUAAAAUCAGUUCAACUCUUCCUUAUGCUUCAUUCCCUGAAUGGCUGCUUCUAACUUGAAUUCAACUUUGAAUUUACUUCUGUAAUUCUUUGUACCAUAGUCAUUCUUGGCUUUUGUUCUUGCCUUCUUUAUUUUAGGUGCACACAACAUGCAUGUUUAAAUUGGUAAUAGUAAGUUAAUAGCUUUUGACUCAACAUGAUCUUUUUUUCGUUGGCAUUAAGGUAACUGCAUUCUUUGACUUUGUUGUCUUGUUUAGCUCAAGUAGAAUUCUUGGUUCUUUAGUUCAGAUGUGAACAUUUUUUGAAUUUAGGCUCAUUUUGAGUAACAAAUGUGACUGUUUUCUUUUGUUGCUGCACCUGCCAUCUAGUUGACAGAUUUAAGCAAAUGCCUCAUGUAUGGAGUAUGGUCUCAACACUCAACAUGUAAGAAUGGCCAGUAUAGCCUUUUAGAGCACAUGAAUCUUGUCGUAUCUAAAUUGAUAACUGUUUCUUUUUUUUUAGAUUAUGGAAAAAGUUCUGGCCUUGAUAAUUGAUAACUGUUUCUAUAGGCAUACAUGUUCUUCUGUGUUGAGGCCUACUGCAUCAUAUAUCAUACGUUAGUCUGCACACCUGAUGCCAACUAUCUUUGUAAUAAUUAUCUUAUCUAUCUUAUUUCUGGACAUCUCCUUUAUGAGCUUACUUAUUUUCUAUACAGAUCAACCCAAUGGAUAGCAGCAAGGCAUGGUAUCUCUAGUCCUUCCAUUUUGUAUUGAUUGUGCUUCUCCAUAGUGUAUGUGCUUUCGUAUGUUGUAUAUCUGUACAGCGCUGAACUGCUAAUAAUGAUUGCCUGAGUAGAGGACGGUGGUCCCAUCACUUACGUUACUUUUUAAUCUAGUUGUCAUGCUGGUCUUUUCAGUGUAGCACUUUUGGUGGACCCUUCCAGUAAUUUUCCAGUCAAAUAUGUUUAGAGAAUUCUUGAUCCCUAUGGGAUAAGGGUGAGAAAAUUGUGCCCAUGCUCGUAACCAUCGUUGCUUCAAGCUCAUCCACUGAAAGCUACUACUAUUUACUGCUGUAAGGCAAGAUGCAUUCUCAAUUCUCGUGCCCACCAUUUUGAAUAGAAUGGUUGUGGAUAAACAGUUGCCCUUGUAGGUUAUUUCUUAUUGCCAUACAACUUGCUGGAGUAUAUUUGGUUUAAUAUUUUUCAUUUUAAUCAUGUGAAGUGUGGAAGCUACCUUAUAUAUUGUGAAUAUCAGUGGGACCUAUUUUACAUAUUACUCUCAACAGAAUAACACUAACAUGUUUGUAAAAUUGCUGCAGAAAAUGAAGAGGGAAAUAUUAGCAUUCUUCUUCAUCAGGACCUUCAAAAGAUUUGCUAAAACUGGGAUCUGAAAUUGUCGAGUGAAAUCAACAGCUUGACUGUAUCGUAUAUCUGCAAAUUUCUAAUUGUAUACUUGUUUACUGGUGUAUGUACAGUUAUGUACAUAUUGCAUAACAUGAAAACUACAUACAACCCUCUCAUCAACUAAAAUAUAGAUAGUGACUGGUUAAGACCCUUGGAAACCAUGGUCAUACUACUCAUGUAGUAGCAUGGCCUUACAACAGAGCUAAGGACUGCCCUUUCCACCUCUUCUGAGGGCUUUCUCCUAAGCAAGCACAUCACAUACUCCAUCACUGCUGCCUCACAAGGUACUGUGAUCCUGUCUUCACUUGUGAACCCAAACUCAUCCUCAGACAUCCGCAGGAGCUCCCCAAAAACGUUUGUAUUAAGAUACACCAAAGGGACCUCAAAUCGCUUACCAUCAGCUGUGUAGACGAUGCAGUGGCCUUUGUUUGCUAUGGCUGAUGCGCAAUAUAGGUUGCCAUCUUUGGUUGCAGUGAUUGUUGUCAGCCUCCUCCCAAGGGUCGCCAUAUGUUGCCACUUCUUUGCCAGUUGAACUAGCCUCUUCGGAUGUAUCAUGUUGUAAUUCUAUGAGAUAAUCUUUUGGUGCCCUGUGCUGUUGCUUCAGUUUUUUAUGGGUUGUGAAGAUGAUAUGCGCUAGUUUCAUGUACUUAUAGGAUAACAAUGGAGCACUAGAGCCAUAAGGUACGCCCAAUGGGUGUAGGCAUCAGUAUGGCUAGUUGGCAAGAGACUAGUUGGCAAGAGACAAAGCAUGGAUUUUAUCUUCCUAGAUGUUGCCAUCUUGCUCUGUAUGAUUGAGUUUGAUGCUUAUUUUUCUUCUUAGCCUAUUGGUACACUUGGGUCCACUCUAUUAAUCUUUUUCUCAGUCCAGUCUAUUUAUCAUUUAUGUCAACUUCAUCCUUCUAUUAUGGUACACAGUUUCCUGCUGUUUGGUUUUACACUUGUAUCUGGUUUCAUUGGUACUAGUAUUGCAGAUGGGUGCUGAAUUUUUUUUUACUAAGAAUUAUUUGAGAUUUACUGUACAAUGAUAAAUACCCAAUUGAAAAGGUCCAAAAUCUAUGAUUCUUCAUUUCCAAUGCUAUUUCUACUGCUUCAACUAAUGUAAGAACACUCUUCAUUAUUUUCUUUCGGGUAAAUUCAACAUAUUGAUGUAGAGAUUCAGGAAGACAACUUUUCUGUGUGUUUGGCCUACUUUUCAUUUGCCUAACAGCUUCAAGGUCUUACAUUAGUUGGAUGUUAUGCUGGUGGAUUAAAAUCUUUAUUAGUUACUCCUGUUGGAAUAUAAGUGAAUUGCCCACCUCUCCCCAUCACCUUAAGCUUUUGGGUUGAACCGGUCGGUGCAUGCAACUCAAUAUGGUAUCAAAGCAAGAGGUCUCGAGUUUGAAUCCUGGUUAGCGCAAUUAAAUAAAAUAAUUGCUACUCGCUUCUAUUCCACGUUCGAGGCCUGAGGGUGCCUCCACGUGAGGGGGAGUGUUGGAAUAUAAGUGAAUUGCCCACCUCUCCCCAUCAGCUUAAGCUUUUGGGUUGAACUGGUCGGUGCAUGCAACUUAAUAACUCUCUCCGUCCCAUGAAGAGUGCAAUUCUAGGUUUUUUAGACAGAUUAGUGGUGGUGUGAAAAGACUUUAAUGCCCUCAAUUGUUUGCCACAUAUGGUUAGUUUUGGCAUAAAAUUCAAAUCUGACCACUUAAUUAGGCAGGUAAUUGAGAUCCAAUCUCUAGAAUUGCACUCUUUGUGGGAUUUUUUCAAACUCAGGAUUACACUUUUCAUGGGAUGGUGGGGGUACUUCUUAUCUUUUGUUCGGUGUUCUUAUUUCAAUAUUUCUGUGGUCUACUAUCCAUAGAGUCGCACUACCCUUUUCUUGCUGGACCAGCAGCCCUGCAAGUAUGAGCAUGUGGCCAACUUUGUGUUCAAUUGGAGGUUUCUUUUGCGACCAUUGUUUAGAUUCAGUCAAACUCUAGUGGCGAUUAAACUUUCUUGCUGUACUGGGGAUCCUGUACUAUCCUGUACACGAUUUAUCUGUUUGUGGCUGUUUCUGUCAGCAUCUGGAUCAUAUUUUUGAUGGAUAUUCAUCCAGAAUAGACAACUAAAUUAUUUUGUUCGAAAGGUUUGCUCUGUUCAGGGGUCCUGCAUAGGUAAUCAUUAUUGAAGAGCUAGAGUAGCUGCUAAUUUGUGAAACGAUCUAUUCAUUAAUUAAUACAGAGUUCCAGGGAUUUUAUGUUAGCUCUUUUAUUGUUAUAGAAACACACCUUUAAAGUUCUGCCUCUAAUCUUGUAGGCUGUGCUGUAAACUUUUGUUGUCUGACGUCUGAUUUUUCUUGUAGAUGCUCGUGGCUUAGUGAUAUACUGAUAUUUCAUGGUUAAUUGCACUUCAAUCAGAUGUUAAGGAAGACAAGAACUACAGACUGAAUUAUUGAUGCAGUGCCACCAGGUGGCAACACAGAUGGACCCAGGAAAACCCAAUCAAAAUCACAUUUCUUUCUCUUGCAACGUUGCAUUUUCAGAGCUCGUGGCAUUUCCUCCUGC